rnacentral:pre_miRNA from 1 species
AAAGUCGUCAAAGCGGCUGUGAAUUAUGUGCAGUAUUGAAUUCAUAUCACAGCCACCUUUGAUGAGCUUUG